rnacentral:rRNA from 1 species
GAUGAACGCUGGCGGCGUGCCUAAUACAUGCAAGUCGAGCGAACAGACGAGGAGCUUGCUCCUUUGACGUUAGCGGCGGACGGGUGAGUAACACGAGGGUAACCUACCUAUAAGACUGGGAUAACUUAGGGAAACCGGAGCUAAUACCGGAUAAUAUUUCGAACCGCAUGGUUCGAUAGUGAAAGAUGGCUUUGAUGACACUUAUAGAUGGACCUGCGCCGUAUUAGCUAGUUGGUAAGGUAACGGCUUAACAAGGCAACGAUACGUAGCCGACAUGAGAGGGUGAUCGGCCAGACUGGAAGAGAGACACGGUCCAGACUCCUACGGGAGGCAGCAGUAGGGAAUCUUACGCAAGGGGGGAAAGCCUGACGGAGCAACGUCGCGUGAGUGAUGAAGGUCUUCGGAUCGGAAAACUCUGUUAUUAGGGAAGAACAAACGUGUAAGUAACUGUGCACGUCUUGACGGUACCUAAUCAGAAAGCCACGGCUAACUACGUG